CAGGACUAUUUCGGCAAGAACACAUCAUCAGGCUGUUAACUUCAACAUCUUCGAGGGCAUGGUUUGCCAUGGGGUGCCCCUCGUGACUAUUUCCAGAGGCAAAGUGGUGUAUGAAGCUGGAGUUUUCAGUGUCUCAGCAGGAGAUGGGAAGUUUAUUCCUCGCAAACCAUUUGCUGAGUAUGUUUACAAACGGAUCAAACAGCGGGACCAGACUUGCACACCCAUUCCUGUGGAGCGUGAACCCUACAAGGGAGAAGUCAUCACACUAAGAUCGAGAGAGACAAAAGAAGACUCCACAGCGGGGAUCAGGAAACAGGCCCACCCCUGAGCUGGAUGCUGUGGGUAAAGUCAGAGAAAAGGAUUCUGCUGUUCCCAUCAUUGUGAAGCAUUGUCAGCCCAUGGAGAAGCAGGCCUUAUUUCAACCCCCCAAGAUCCUUUUGAAAAAAUAAUCGCGCCAGGCCUCUUUGAUUUCCUUUCAGAAGCAAUUGCUGUCUUUCUUACUGUGACUUUGUUGUUGUGUAAGAUUGAAGACAUAAAUGAAUAUUAUUGUGAUGGGAAGUUGAUGUGAAAAUUCACUGAUGAUACUUUAAAAUGUCAUCUUCACUUGUCCUGGAUUUCUUACUUGGAAAUUUUAAAAAUCACUUUCUUGUUGAAGGGUUUUUUAAUGGCUACAUUUGUUCAAAAAUAGCGAACUCUGUGGUUUUACAUGCAAUUAUAAUUAAUAAACAUUUAGAUCUUCA